ACAAUAUAAAAGGAAAAGCAAAAAACCCUAAAUCAACAUAAACAUAAAAUUCCCUAACUCCUAAAUCCAUGGCCAGCCGCCUCAUCUCUCUGGCGAUAUCCUUCUUCUUCUUCAUACCUCUAAAAAUUCUCGUCUUCGAGCCCUAAAAUUCAAGGGUCCAUGCCAUAAGAAAUCCUAACACCACUGCUCAAAUUCUAAGACCCAUACCAUACGAAACCCUAACGAUCUACAUUAUACAAAACAUCC
rnacentral:lncRNA from 1 species